rnacentral:rRNA from 1 species
GAUGAACGCUGGCGGCGUGCUUAACACAUGCAAGUCGAACGGUGAAGCAGGAGCUUGCUCUCGUGGAUCAGUGGCGAACGGGUGAGUAACACGUGAGCAACCUGCCCCUGACUCUGGGAUAAGCGCAGGAAACGGCGUCUAAUACUGGAUAUGUGAUGUGACCGCAUGGUCUGCAUCUGGCAAUACUUUCGGAUGGGGAUGGGCUCGCGGCCUAUCAGCUUGUUGGUGAGGUAAUGGCUCACCCAGGCGUGGACGGGUAGCGGGCCUGUGAGGGUGGCCGGCCACACUGGGACUGAGACACGGCCCGGACUCCUACGGGAGGCAGCAGUGGGGAAUAUUGCACAAUGGGCGGAAGCCUGAUGCAGCAACGCCGCGUGAGGGAUGACGGCCUUCGGGUUGUAAACUUAUUUUAGCAGGGAAGAAGCGAAAGUGACGGUACCUGCAGAAAAAGCACCGGCUAACUACGUGCCAGCCGCCGCCGUAA